rnacentral:rRNA from 1 species
AUGAGCUACUUCAACCAGCAGCAGCAGGCUCCGGUCACCGCGUACCCACCGCCGCAGGCCAACUACGUGGUGGCGGCGCCUCCGGCGGCGUACUACGCGCCGACUGCGUCACCGCCGCCGCCGCCGGGCUACCCGACCAACUACGACGCGGGCAUGGGUGCCCCGCAGCCAGCGCAGACACAGAGCCGCGGUGACAAGGCCUUCUUGGAAGGAUGCUGUGCAGCCAUCUGCUGCUGUUGCCUCCUCGACAUGUGCUUCUAA